UACGUAGGUGGCAAGCGUUAUCCGGAUUUACUGGGUGUAAAGGGCGUGUAGGCGGGAAAGCAAGUCAGAUGUGAAAACCAUGGGCUCAACCUGUGGCCUGCAUUUGAAACUGUUUUUCUUGAGUACUGGAGAGGCAGACGGAAUUCCUAGUGUAGCGGUGAAAUGCGUAGAUAUACGGAGGAACACCAGUGGCGAAGGCGGCCUGCUGGACAUUAACUGACGCUGAGGCGCGAAAGCGUGGGGAGCAAACAGG
rnacentral:rRNA from 1 species